AUAUAUGUAUAUAUAUAUAUGUAUACACAUGCAUGUAGCCUCUUUCAUCUUCCCUUGGUGUACCUCUUCUAAUUUACUAAAGACACUCUAAGGAUUUUGUAAU